CACGUAGGGGGCGAGCGUUGUCCGGAUUUAUUGGGCGUAAAGAGCUCGUAGGCGGCCAACUAAGUCAGACGUGAAAUCCCUCGGCUUAACCGGGGAACUGCGUCUGAUACUGGAUGGCUUGAAUCCGGGAGAGGGAUGCGGAAUUCCAGGUGUAGCGGUGAAAUGCGUAGAUAUCUGGAGGAACACCGGUGGCGAAGGCGGCAUCCUGGACCGGCAUUGACGCUGAGGAGCGAAAGCCAGGGGAGCAAACGGG
rnacentral:rRNA from 1 species